rnacentral:rRNA from 1 species
UAGGGANUCUUCCACAAUGGGCGAAAGCCUGAUGGAGCAACGCCGCGUGUGUGAUGAAGGCUUUAGGGUCGUAAAGCACUGUUGUAUGGGAAGAAAUGCUAGAAUAGGGAAUGAUUCUAGUUCGACGGUACCAUACCAGAAAGGGACGGCUAAAUACGUGCCAGCAGCCGCGGUAAUACGUAUGUCCCGAGCGUUAUCCGGAUUUAUUGGGCGUAAAGCGAGCGCAGACGGUUGAUUAAGUCUGAUGUGAAAGCCCGGAGCUCAACUCCGGAAUGGCAUUGGAAACUGGUUAACUUGAGUGUUGUAGAGGUAAGUGGAACUCCAUGUGUAGCGGUGGAAUGCGUAGAUAUAUGGAAGAACACCAGUGGCGAAGGCGGCUUACUGGACAACAACUGACGUUGAGGCUCGAAAGUGUGGGUAGCAAACAGGAUUAGAUACCCUGGUAGUCCACACCGUAAACGAUGAAUACUAGGUGUUAGGAGGUUUCCGCCUCUUAGUGCCGAAGCUAACGCAUUAAGUAUUCCGCCUGGGGAGUACGACCGCAAGGUUG